rnacentral:rRNA from 1 species
UGCAGUCGAGGGGUAGAAGUCUUCGGACUUUGAGACCGGCGCACGGGUGCGUAACGCGUAUGCAAUCUACCUUUUACAGAGGGAUAGCCCAGAGAAAUUUGGAUUAAUACCUCAUAGCAUAGCAACUUCGCAUGAAGUCACUAUUAAAGUCACAACGGUAAAAGAUGAGCAUGCGUCCCAUUAGCUAGUUGGUAAGGUAACGGCUUACCAAGGCUACGAUGGGUAGGGGUCCUGAGAGGGAGAUCCCCCACACUGGUACUGAGACACGGACCAGACUCCUACGGGAGGCAGCAGUGAGGAAUAUUGGACAAUGGGCGCAAGCCUGAUCCAGCCAUGCCGCGUGCAGGAUGACGGUCCUAUGGAUUGUAAACUGCUUUUAUACGAGAAGAAACACUGCUUCGUGAAGCAGCUUGACGGUAUCGUAAGAAUAAGGAUCGGCUAACUCCGUGCCAGCAGCCGCGGUAAUACGGAGGAUCCAAGCGUUAUCCGGAAUCAUUGGGUUUAAAGGGUCCGUAGGCGGUUUAAUAAGUCAGUGGUGAAAGCCCAUCGCUCAACGGUGGAACGGCCAUUGAUACUGUUAAACUUGAAUUAUUAGGAAGUAACUAGAAUAUGUAGUGUAGCGGUGAAAUGCUUAGAGAUUACAUGGAAUACCAAUUGCGAAGGCAGGUUACUACUAAUGGAUUGACGCUGAUGGACGAAAGCGUGGGUAGCGAACAGGAUUAGAUACCCUGGUAGUCCACGCCGUAAACGAUGGAUACUAGCUGUUGGAAGCAAUUUCAGUGGCUAAGCGAAAGUGAUAAGUAUCCCAUCUGGGGAGUACGUUCGCCAGAAUGAAACUCAAA